UCCUCACCCUGCUGUAACUGCAAUAAAAAAGCUGAACCUCCAGCGCUCCCGGCAUUCUUUGCUACCCCGCUGCGUCGGAGGAGCCUGAGGGUCUGAGCUCGGACUUGGAUAAAGACUCUUUGCUUUUGCAUACGAGUUCGACUUCUGGUGGUCUUUGGGGACCCUAGGAUCUGGGCAUAACAUUUGGGGGCUCAUCCGGGAUCCCCUGAGGCCCCCAGGACCCCCGAGCCGUUGAGUCAGAACCCGGUGGGUAAGUGUCUGAAUGUUUGUGCUCUGCCUCGGUGUCUCAGCGCUCCAAACGAGUAGCCAGCAGGCGGUCCAGGCGUACCGGCGCCACCCGACUUGGGAGAAGUCCCGGACCCGCGAGUAGGGGAUUGGAUCCCCUCGUAGACUUGAAGAGACAAAGAGGGUCGCUCCCGAGGCGGUGCUCUCACUUCUGUUCUUGCCUAAGAUCGCCGCAGGAAGGACUGAGUGCCUUUUUGUCUUUCGCCCAUCUGUUUGCUAUCCGUCUGGACUUAUUUCUUUGUGACUGACUUAGUUCUUUGUGACUGACGCCAUGGGACAGACCCAGACCACUCCUUUUAUCUUUGUUCUUAGACCAUUUCAAAGACUAUAAAACAAGGGCUAGAAGUCGGGGCUUAGUUGUUAAGAAGAGACUAACUGCUUUCUGCAGGAAGGAAUGGCCAACCUUCAACGUUGGCUGCCCGCCAGAGGGGACUUGGAACUUACUCGCGAUUUUUUAGGACCAAGGAUAUCAUUUUUUAGACGACCCGGACACCCAGACCAAGUGCCCUACAUCAUCACCUGGCUGGAUCUGGUCCAGGACCCGCCAAAAUGGCUCAAGCCUUGGCUGCUGCCAAGGCAACCAAGUGCCGCCGUACUCGCCCCAGAAAACCGCGAAGAACCAAAAACAAACUAACCCUAGGGUCUCUCUUUAUCCUGUCUUGCAGGGUAGCACUGAGGAAGACUUCCUCAACCCAGACCCGCCUUAUGAACCCCCAUUAGAGGGUAGCCCAGGCCUUCAACCUGAGGCCCCAGGAGGGGUUCAUGGGUCUCCCUUGGUGAACCCUCCUCACACCCAAUGGAAAGUCCAACAAGAGCUGCCUCAACCACCCGUGGCUGAGUCCACGGUUCUCCCCUUGACGGCAGUAGGUCCCCGGGACGAUGAGGGGAACCAACUGAUGGAAUAUUGUCCCUUAGCCAUUAGACAGCUAUAUAAUUGGAAAUGCAAGUACCCUCAGUUCUCAGAGAAACCAGCUGCGUUGAUUAACUUAAUCGAUUCUGUCAUUUUAACCCACCAGCCCACCUGGGAUGACUGUCAAUUGCUCUUGCAGAUCCUCUUCACUACGGAGUGAGUGUGAGCGAGAGAGGAUUUUAAUUGAGGCCAUAAAAUUGGUUCCAGGAGCAAAUGGGAGCCCUACUACUAAACAAGCUCUUAUUAAUGCAGGCUUUUACGGGACCAGACCAGACUGGAAUUUUAACUUAGCAGAAGGUAAGGAGAGUCUCUGAGUCUACCGCUAGACUCUGAUGAGAGGUCUCAGGGCUGCUGCGCAGAGACCCACUCAUUUGGCCAAGGUACAUAGGGUGCAUCAGGAAAUGGCAGAAUCACCCGCAUUCUUUUUAGAAAGGAUUAUAGAGGCCUAUCGCAUCUACACGUCCCUAGACCCAGCGGCACCUGAGAUUAAGUCAACGGUCAUUAUGUCCUUAGUAGAUCAGGCCGCCCCUGACAUCAAGCACAAAUUGGAGAGAAUAGACAGGCUAGGGGAGAAGAGUUUGCAGGAGUUGCUGGUGGUAGCUGAGAAAGUGGUUGACAACAAAGAAAUACUUACGAAGAAACACUUGCAAGCCUAUGAGGAGCUAGGAAAUCAAAGGUUGGCCACAUUCUGUGUGCCUUUGUUGGCAGAUUCCCCGGAAGAGAAAGACCACCAAUGGAAAAGGUAAGCGGCCCCAACAAAAGAGGAAGCCAAAGCUCAAAAAGAACCAAUGUGCAUACUGUAAGAAGAUGGGACAUUGGGUCAAGGACUGCCCCAAGAAACCUCCAAAGAGGGACAAAGGAGGACAGGGUUCAGACCCCCUCCCUGAGCCCAGAGUAACCCUUAAAGUGGAGGGGAAAUCCAUUAGUUUCUUAGGAGACACAGGGGCACAAUAUUCAGUCCAAGCCCAUGGAAAACUGUCCUCAAAGAAAUCGUCGGAACCUGGGGCCACUGGUAUGAAUCAGGAUGCAUGGAGUACCCAAAAAAGAGUGAAUCUCAGAACGGGCCAGGUAUCCCACUCCUUCAUGACCAUACCAGAUUGUCCUAACCCCUCUUGGGGAGAAAUUUGCCAACCAAGGUAGGAGCUCAGAUUUCUUUUGAUCAAAAAGGGGAUUCUGUCACAGAUUCCAGAGGAUACCCUAGUCACAUACUCCCCCUGCCUCUAGAUGAUGAAUAUAAAUUGGACCAAAGACCAAGCUCUUUCCCGAAUGAGAGCUCAGCUUAGUUAACCAAGUUCCCCUCAGCUUGGGCAGAAACCGAAGGAAUGGGGUUGGCGGACCAUAGGACCCCCAUUCGGGUUGAACUGAAACCAGAGGCAACGCCUGUCCGAAUAAGACAGUACCCAAUCUCCCGUGAAGCCAAAUCAGUUAUCAUACCCCCCCCACAUCAGAAGGUUCAGGACUUGGGCAUACUAGUACCUUGCCAGUCCCCAUGGAACACGCCCCUACACUCCAUCAAGAAGCACAACUCAAAGGACUAUAGACUAGUCCAGAACCUCAAAGAGGUAAACAAAAGAGUUAUGGACAUAUAUUUCACAGUACCAAACACGUAUACCAUCCUGAGUUUGUUAAAACCUUCCCAGACUUGGUAUACAGUAUUGGACCUCAAAGAUGCUGUCUUAAGCCUGCUUUUAGCCCCCUUGAGCCAACCUCUGUUUGCCUUUGAAUGGCACAACCCAGAAGAAGAAUUCAAUGGACAACUAACAUGGACCAGACUGUCACAAGGCUUCAAGAAUUCAACAGUCAUCUUUAACAAGGCUCUACAUGAAGAUCUGGGUGAGUACAGUCGGGAACACCCCAAUACCACCCUCUUGCAAUAUGUAGAUGAUCUCUUAGUGGCAGCAGAGACCAUGGAAGAAUGUCAACGGAGUACUGAGGACCUGCUAAUGGCACUGGGGCAAUUAGGCUACAGGGCAUCAGCUAAGAAGGCUAAAAUCUGCCAACAAGAGGUAACAUACUUGGGAAACAUCCUAAAAGGGGGCCAAUGAUGGCUAUCGGAGGCCCAAAAAGAUACCAUUUUGAAGAUCCCCACACCCACCACAAAACAGAAGGUCAGACAGUUCUUGGGGUCGGCAGGAUUCUGCUGCAUUUGGGUCCCUAAUUUUGCAGAAUUGGCAAAGCCCCUCUAUGAGGCCACCAAAAAAAGGGGGCCCAAUGGACUGAGGCCCAGGAAAGAUCUUUCAAUAGAUUCAAACAGGCCUUAUUGGCAGCCCCCGCAUUAGUACUACCCGACAUCACCAAGCCCUUUCGUCUAUAUAUAGAUGAAAGCAAAGGCAUAGCUAAAGAAGUCCUCACUCACAUGUUAGGAUCCUGGAUUCACCCAGUAGCAUACCUAUCAAAGAAAUUAGUCCCUGUGGCUUCUGGAUGGCCUCCGCGUUUGAGAAUUAUCACUGCCACAGCCUUGCUAGUCAAGGAUGCAGACUUCGAGGCAAGAACUUUGUAUUACCACUCCCCAUGCCAUAGAAAGGAUUCUCAAACAACCCCCAGAUCAAUGGGUGAGCAAUGCACGCAUGACUCACUACCAAAGCCUGCUACUAAACCCUGAGUGUAUCCACUUCCUACCAAGCACUGCCCUGAACCCAGCCUCUCUGCUACCAGACCCAGAUUUGGAGACCCCAGUACAUGAUUGUGUGGGCAUACUAAGCCAGGUGCACAGAGUUGGGAAAGACCUAAUAGCCCGGGCCUCUGCCAAAUGCAGAAGCCACUUGGAUCAUGGACGGUAAAGCUUUGUGCUUGUAUGCAGGGGUGGCAGUGUUAUCAGACUCAGAAACUAUAUGGGCAUCUGCCCUGCCACCCAGCACUUCUACACUAUGGGGCAAACUCAUGGCCCUAACAGAAGCCUUAAAAAUGGAAAAAGGCAAAAUACUCAACAUUUAUACAGCUAGCAGAAAUGCCUUUGCUACAGCCCAUGUCCCUGAGGCCAUUUAUCAGGAGAGAGGACUCAUGACAGCUGAAGGAAAGACUAUUAAAAACAAACAGGAAGCCAGGCAUGGUGGCACACACCUUUAAUCCCAGCACUCGGGAGGCAGAGGCAGGCAGAUUUCUGAGUUCAAGGCCAGCCUGGUCUACAAAGUGAGUUAAAGGACAGCCAGGACUAUACAGAGAAACCCUGUCUUGAAAAACAAAACAAAACAACAACAACAACAACAACAACAACAACAACAACAAAACAGGAGAUCCUAAACCUUUUGGAGGCCUUUUGGCUUCCAAAGAAACUGGCUAUUAUACACUACCCACAGCACCAAAAGGCAAUGAUGCCUGAAGCAAAAGGCAGUCAAUGGGGCAGAUUCGGCAGCCAAGGCAGCAGCUCUCAAUCCUGUGGCAACUUUGACUUUCCAACUGCCUGACCCAGGAGCUCCAAUCCUACCAGAUGAGCCUGAAUACUCCAAAGAGGAUGUUCUCUCUAUUCACAAACUGCCUAUGGCCCAUAAGCCUGAUGGCUGGUGGCUCACCGGGGGCUGCAAAAUAAUCCUGCCCAGCAAUUUGGCAGCCAGUCUGCUCUAGCAUAUACACUGGACAACCCACUUGGGGACCAAGAAAACUGAGGAUCUGGUAGGAAAGGCAGACCUAAUAAUCCUCAACCUCAGGUCCCAGAUCAGACAGAUAGCCUCCAAAUGCUUUAGCUGUAAGCUCACUAAUGCAGAGAAUCAACCAAAGGAUAAAGGAUGCCAAACCGGGUGCUCACUGGGAAAUGGACUUUACUGAGAGAUAAGACCAGGGAAACAUGGUUACAGGUACCUACAGGUCAUGCUUGUAGACACCUUUUCAGGAUGGACUGAAGCCUACCCCACCAGGCAUGAAACAGCACAAAUAGUGAUCAAGAAGAUACCAGAGGAGGUGUUUCCCAGGUAUGGAAUGUCAGCCCUCCCAAGCUCUGACAAGGGACCUGUCUUCUUCACUAAGGUAACAUAGGGGAUGGCUAAAGCCAUUGGAGUGGAUUGGAAACUACAUUGUGCUUAUAGGCGCCCAAGCUCAGGACAGGUAGAGAGGACGAAUAGAACUUUAAAAGAGACCCUUACUAAAUUAAACUUGGAGACUGGUGGAAACUGGAUGGCUCUCCUCCCCUUCGCCCUCUAUAGGGUUCACCACAUACUCUAUACGUUGGAUUUAACCCCUUAUGAAAUCAUGUUUAGAAGACACACACACCCACACACACAUACUUUACCUAACCUAAAAUCUGAAGUGUUAGCUGAAAAUGAUGAUUGCCACUUACUUGACUCUCUUGAACAUCUAGCCUACACCCAAAAGGAGCUCUGGCCUCACCUGAAGGCUGUUUUUGAGGCUGCACCACCUCAUCCUCCCCACUGCUAUUGCUCUGGAGGCUGGGUCUUCCUGUCAAGGCACCAGAAGGGAACCCUAGAACCCUGCUGGGAAGGACCCUAUGUCGUGGUCCUAAGAACAUCCACUGUCCUCAGGAUUGAUGACAUUGCUACCUGAAUACAUCACACAUACCCACAUCUUGCAGACCCACAUCCAAACCCAGUCUACGUCUCCCCAAGGUGACAUAUUGCCUGAGACCAAGAGACUCCAUAAAAACUCAAGCUCCAGUGCUCCUAAGCUUAUUGGCAUGGGCUUCUUGCUUCCAGGAGUUGCCAGCUCUCUCACGGGUUCUAGCCCUCAGCUGCUCUGGAACCUAACCUGGGCUCUGAGAGAUGCAGUCACCAGUGGCAUUUCCCACCAGCAGAGCAUGACUGUGUCCCUUGGCACCUGUUUCGCCGACCUCCACUUCGACCCAACUCACCCACUUGGACUGUCCUGGGCUGAUGGAUUCCUCAGCACAUUUCACCUCUAUGUUUACCCCAGUGCAAAAAUUGGCAACAAGACCCAGCGGUGAUGAUGUGGGGGAGCUGAAUCCUUCUUCUGCUCCUCCUGGGAUUUUGUGAGUAUGGGACACAUUUGGUGGGAUCCCUCUAUCAAGGUGGACUUCAUUUGAGAAUGCUGAAAGACUGAUGACUAAAUCAGCUCUAUGGGCGUUUGGUUCCCUUGCCACCAAACUACGGACACUGGGUGGUGCACCUCCAUCCUCACUAUGUUUAUGGACUUGGGGAAAAAAGGCUAAUGGAUGGGAAUUUAAAAAAAAAAAAAAA
rnacentral:lncRNA from 1 species